ensembl:processed_transcript
UCUAUGCUCGCUAUCCCAAGGUUCAUUGCGAUCCCAAGGUUCACUGCGGUUUUCCACAAGCCUGUUUCUGCCUAUCACCAUGAGUGAUUCCUUGAUACUCAGAUUUUUCAUCAAGAUCUCAAUUAUAAGCUCAAGUCUUGAUGACAACUUGAUGAUCUGCAUGAAGCACCACCAUGUAUAGAGGGCCAAGACCACUCUGGAAUCAGUCAAGGCUCAUAGGAACUCCAAUCUUCCCAACUGUGAGAGGGCCUUGCUCCAGUGACUGAUUGCAUUGACCAGACAUGCUACUGUAACUCUCAUGGUCAUGUGCUGGAAUUAGCAGAUAUUCAACAAUUUGGCCAUCUUGCCGACCUAUUGAUAUCAGAAGACCACAACAGCUCUGCAAAGCAAGUUGGAAAACAGAAUCCAUGAAACUGGCAGUGACCGGAAACCAGUUGGAAGACUUUGGUCUGUGACGUAGAGGAGUGGGCAGAGGGUGAGGAAAUUCUUAUUAAUAUUAAAUGUAGUCAUGAAAAAUUGUAACUGUUACUAUUACUGUCAUUUUUUCAGUAGCAGAAGCAAAGACAACAAACAACAGAUAUGGCAUGGUAUGU